UACCCAGCAAGUCCUAUCCCUACCUCCUCGUGAUACUGGCCGGGGUACGAUCAACCUUAGGGAAGAUCGGGAAGCCAACCCCGGUGGGAACUCUGGUCGUAUGCUGACAGGGAAGG
rnacentral:ribozyme from 1 species